ACGCUCGACACCUACGGGAGCAGCAGUGAGGAAUAUUGGUCAAUGGGCGCUAGCCUGAACCAGCCAAGUAGCGUGAAGGAUGAAGGCUCUAUGGGUCGUAAACUUCUUUUAUAUAAGAAUAAAGUGCAGUAUGUAUACUGUUUUGUAUGUAUUAUAUGAAUAAGGAUCGGCUAACUCCGUGCCAGCAGCCGACGGUAAUCUGAGGCGGGCUGGCAAGGC
rnacentral:rRNA from 1 species